UGAGGGAAUAUUUGGGGUCAAUGGACGGAAGUCUGAACCAGCCAAGUAGCGUGCAGGAUGACGGCCCUCCGGGUUGUAAACUGCUUUUAGUUGGGAAUAAACGGCGGGACGUGUCCCGCUUUGCAUGUACCAUCAGAAAAAGGACCGGCUAAUUCCGUGCCAGCAGCCGCGGUAAUACGGAAGGUCCGGGCGUUAUCCGGAUUUAUUGGGUUUAAAGGGAGCGUAGGCCGUCGUUUAAGCGUGUUGUGAAAUGCCGCGGCUCAACCGUGGCACUGCAGCGCGAACUGGAUGACUUGAGUUCGCGGGAGGUAGGCGGAAUUCGUGGUGUAGCGGUGAAAUGCUUAGAUAUCGCGAAGAACUCCGAUUGCGAAGGCAGCUUACCGUAGCGUUACUGACGCUGAAGCUCGAAAGUGCGGGGUAUCGAACAGGGAUUAGAUACCCUGGUAGU
rnacentral:rRNA from 1 species